ensembl:lncRNA
GGGGUGAGAGAGAUGGAGGGUUUGACCUCUGUGAGGUGAGAGAGAUGAAGGGUUUGACCUCUGUGGGGUGAGAGAGAUGGAGGGUUUGACCUCUGUGGGGUGAGAGAGAUGGAGGGUUUGACCUGCAGAACAAACAAUGUGGGAGGUUUGGAUGUGAUGGGCCCAUCCAAGGAUUAAUACCAUUAUUAAUACCAUAAUGAAUGAAUGUUAUUAAUAACUAUGGCUAAUAAAAUUGAAACUAAAGACAGCAGAGAAAAGUUUAAAGUUAUUGGCUCAUUUGAGCUCUUGACCUUUAACUCUGGACCUUUGACCUUUCAGUCUGACAGAGAGGAUUAUCAGCUCAUUGAUCUGCAAUGCCUGAGCCAGUACCCCCGCGAUAUCUGGUUCUAUGAUGCCCCAUGCAUGCCUGUCCAGCCGGUGAUGCAGUGCCGGGAGGGAGGCCCUGUGACCUCAGCACUCGGCGACACGUUGGAGAGUGACAGUGACCGCAGCACCCCUUCCGAGCUGGACCCAGGGUUCUGUUGUGACAAGGAGCCUGGCUGCCAUGAGCAGUCUGACAGGGAGGAUUAUCAGCUUAUUGAUCUGCAAUACCUGAGCCAGUACCCCCGCGAUAUCUGGUUCUAUGAUGCCCCAUGCAUGCCUGUCCAGCCGGUGAUGCAGUGCCGGGAGGGAGGCCCUGUGACCUCAGCACUCGGCGACACGUUGGAGAGUGACAGUGACCGCAGCACCCCUUCCGAGCUGGACCCAGGGGUCUGUUGUGACAAGGAGCCUGGCUGCCAUGAGCAGUCUGACAGGGAG